UACAAUUACAUUGUCGAGGUCUAAAUUCUUUUUUGCUAAUCCGAAUAUCCUGAAAAGUGAAAAACAUUAGUCGUUGUCCCGAAGUCCACAGCAAACAAAAUGGAAAAACUAUGUCCGGCAAUAUUUGGAGUAGUUACAUUAGUUUUAUUGUGCGCUGGAGCUUUCUCUCCCGGAUGGUUAGUCGUGGAUUGGGCUGACUUAGUGGGACUUCAGAGAUAUGAUUAUUUAUCUGGACGUGCAACAAUACAUAUGGGAUUGUAUUAUAUGAUAGUUACAGGGAAUGGUAUUACAAUUACAGCUACAUUUGGUGAAAUUCCAGGGUUUCAAAGCUUAAUAACUACUCACCUUCUUGAAUACCAAAUAGAAACUAUCCUAGGGUUUGUCCUAUGUCUUAUAUCAAUGAUAAUAACGUUAGCUUACAACAAAAAAGGAACAGUUGGAGUUUUGAUUGCUCCUAUCAUAUUGUACAUGUUAGCAGGAAUAGUAACUCUGAUGGCAGUUGGACGUUGGCUCACCAAAGUGUUGUUGGGUUCGAGAGAAAAAGACGUAACACUGAUCGUCCCUUACUCUUUAAUUUUGAGUGGUCUUGGAGCUGUGUUCUGUGUGGUUACCAUGAUUAUUAUUAGCUACAUGCUCUGCAAACACAACACUGCAGAUCAACCCCAAGAGGAUCAGGAGUCUUCAGAAAUUUCCGAGGAAAGGUAUCAACAAAUGCAGCCGAAAACGAAAGGCCGACCUUCAAAGGGACAAACACAGGAUAUUGAUUUGACCACGGUGUUGGAAUACCUUACAAACCUUAAAAAAAAGAGAUGAAGUGUACGCGUACGCCAACUAAUGUUUAUACGUCACAACGUAUAUUAUUUAACUUAGAGAAAAUUUGUAAUUAUAGUUAUUAUUGAAAGUUAUAUAUUUCAAGCUUAUGAUAAUCAAAAUGACGCUUUUUACCAAACUACAGUGAUUACGUUAUAUUACAAAGGUACUCUAACAAUUAUUAUUGUACUCAACUGUAUAUCAUUUUUGUCCUGAACUUAUAGGUUAUAUGUCAAAGUUUAUAAAAAAAUAAACACCCAAAUCAACAAAGACAUGUUUUUCGUGGAUUUGAAAACACCUGUUAGAUUCUGAACGCUCGAAAAGUUUAUUUAAGUGUUAUUUAAAAUGAAGAGAGCGUAGUACUCCCUCUCUCUUUGUGAUCAGAUUUACUGUCAUUAUUUCGGCUGGACACUGCGGAGAAGUUAACCAUGCCAAUUCUAACUUACAAAAGUGAAAUUUGGGGCGCUUUAGAUUCAAAAAAGUUAACUGACAAAGGAGAUUGUUAUUUUAAAAAAUUAUGCAAAGAACUUCAAACUGAAUCAGUUCAUUCAAAAAUCUGUAAAUUUUCACUUGGAGUAGGAAAAAGAAGCACAAAUAUGGCAGUGAUAGGUGAGCUAAGGAGAUACCCAUUAUUUAUUAAAGUUAUAGUUAAUAUGUUUUCAUACUUAUCACGUUUAACAAAUACAGAGGACAAAUUAUUGUAACAAAAUCCUUAUCAAACCAUAGUAAGAAAAGUUACAAUUCAAUGAGUUCAUUAGUAAAAUACUAAGACAUAGAUUUAUCACAAGUCUUUAAUAUGAAAUCCAAUUUGAAAAGAUUUAUUUUGAACAACCUAAAAUUAAAGUAUAAUCAGUUGCGGUAUUCAUCUUAAAACGAUGACAGAAAAAAAUGUGUCAUUUGGAAAUAAACUAAGAACAUACAGACUUUUUAAGAGAAAUAUAAGUUUUGAACCCUAUCUGUCUAUAGGCAAUAGGAAUCUGAGAAUUCAGAUGACAAAAUUCAGAAUAAGUAACCAUAAUCUAGAAAUAGAGAGAGGUAGAUACAGGGGACUUCAUGCAAUAGAUAGAAUUUAUAAUCUUUGUAAAAAAGAAGUGGAAGACGAACUCCACUUUCUACUAAAAUAUUCAUCUUUAGAAAGUGAUAGAGUUUCCACCAUUUCAAACAUAGCUAAAAGUUACAAAACAUUUCACAAUUUAGAUUAUCAAUCACAAUUUAUUUGCCAUGGCUAAUGUCCAAUGAAGAUAGUCACAUAUUUAAUCAAGUGAGCAAUUUAAUUAAUAAUUCAAAUAUUGUUCGAAAACAACUAUUAGAAACUUAGUAAAAUUAUAAAGAAGACAAUUUUUUUUUUCUUGUAUGAAUAUAUGUAUGCAUAAUUUAGCUAUUUAUAAUUGUGCUUGUUAUUAUGUGCUUAUGACAGCACAAAAAAAAAAUACACCAGAAUAUUUUUAUACAGUUUUCUAUAUUUUUAGGAUCACUGUAUUUGUCAAUGUGGAAAUAUAUUUCCCUAAACUUGUCAAAAUUCAUUUUCAGCUAUCUAGGCUAGGCGCUAAUUUUUUUCUUACAGCCAAUAACGACCCUGGAAUCGCCCUGGUAUUCCAGAGUCUUAGAGCUUAAUUAAAGGGUCAUAUCAAGAUGUACUGUAAAUAAGGAUUCAAAUUGGUAAAAAAUCAACAUGAAAACAAAUUCCCGAUAAAUUGAACAAAAGACAAACUUCAAUCACCUAAUCAUUAAUCAUUAAAAAAAAUUGAUAAGGAAACUAGAAAUGGAGAGAUCAAUUGAAAUUCUUUCGGGAUGAACAUUACAUUUAACGUUGAACAUCAUAAAAGCAAUGGGAACCACUACAGGUACAAUCGAAACAAACAAGGUGUUCCAUUAGAAAAAAAUUAAACUUCUGACGGUCCAGAAAAUUCCAGAUGAAUGAAUACUUUAUUGCAAAAAGCAUAUAUAUGCUAUAGCAACGAAAACAUAUUUACAACAUGACAAAUGAUAAACAGCAGAGACCAAUACAUAAAAAGCAUUAUAAGAAAACCAAAUAACAUUAAGUAACAAUAUGUGAUCUGAUUGACCAUGUAAAACAGACGUUAAUUUAAAUAGAUACUGUAAAAGAGGGACGAAAGAUACCAGAGGGACAGUCAAACUCAUAGAUCGAAAACAAACUGUAAUUUAGUAAUGUUUGGCCAAGAACAAUGGAAUUUUAGCAAAUAUUUAGGCCUAAUUGAUCUAUAGGCAUGGCAUACUAAUAAAAAGUGGUAUUCGUUUUCAACGCACUGCAUUUGCAUAAACGUAAUACUCUAGCCAUGUCAGUAUAUCUUCCUGUUUCAAUGUUUAGCUUUAGUGUACCACUACGUAAUUUAGUUAAAAAGUGUGAAUUAUAACAGUAAUCUAAAAAGUGUCCAAACCUAAAUUCCAACUUUAUAUUCUUAUAAAUACUAAGUUUUUCGCUCCUUUCUACAGAUGCUAACCAGCUUUGUAUAUACUGAUCUAUAAUUCUAUUCUUAAUGACAGCACUAUAUUCAAUUAUAUGUAUUUCUGAUUGUUGAUACCAUAUAUAAUUUAGACCACUAUCACAUAAUAAGUCACGUACAUUAGAAGCCCAUUUUUUUUGCCAUUAUUGGCAUCUUCAAGUAACAAUUUAUAAACAUCAUAAACAAUUGGUGUUUUAUUAGUUAAAAUAUUCAACCAGUAUUUAAAAGUUCUAAAUUUAAGUAAACUUUAGCGAGCAUUUAACAUUUCAGUGCCAUGAAGUUGUUUACACCAUUUCACUUUUUAGUUUUUGAUAUAUACACUGGCAAUCAUAUCUCUUAUUUAUAUAACUAUAUACACUGUGAUGACCAAUAAAGUAUGCUUUAAAAUCAAACCAUCUGAAACAUCUAUUUAUGUUAAGUAUGCAUAAAUAAACAUGAUAAAGGUAUUCUUUAUUUAAAAUUUAAUCAGUUUUACAAGGUAAAUAAUACGAAACACAAUGGAAGGAAUUAUGUAUAUUGAUAUACAUUUCUUUCAUUUUAACUCAAGUAAAAUUACUAAAUUGUUACUACGAGAGAAAUAAAACAUAUUCAUUUUUGUUCCAGGUGACAGAUUUGAACCCGAGCUAACACCGACGUAUUAUGUUUUGAAACUUAAACUGUUAAAGACUUCUUUUAUUUCAACAUAACUACAUUAAAUUUACAUAAUUUAUACAUAAACACAUGAUACUUGUUGUUGUUAGUGAACACAUACUAUGCCUUUCGCUUUAACCGCAUCAGAGCUGUAUUCUCGUGGUAGCGUACUCGUCUUGACUGAAGGAGGUCGUAGGUGAGAAUGACCAAACCAAAUACUUGAAAAUAGGUAUUUGCCGCUUCUUCAAUAAUUGGGAUCCAGUAGCAGAAAAACGGUAAACAUACAUCACAGACAUACAACACAAUUGACUAAAAAGUUAAAACAAUCAUACAAAUGUAACUAACAAAGACACCACAAAAUGGUAUUGUAGUAGAUAAUAAAUUUGACAAAGACGCCAACAAAAAAGAUUUUGUCGUUGAUAGUAAAUUGAUAAAGAUGCCGAUACAUUUUGUUUGUCGUUGAUACUAAUAGCACAUACCGUAUAUAUAGUAUACAUUUUCUCGAUAAAGUAAAAUAUAAAAACAAGAGUAAACAAAAUAGAAAUAACACUGUAAAAACUCUUUGGGUCCGAAUCGCACCUUCGGACCCACCUGCACCAGGAACACCAAAAGUAAAUCAAAGUACUGUAGUACUGAACAUCGGAUGACCGCAAGUUCUGGUGGAUAGUCACGUGCACUUGUCUCAGAAAAAAAAUC